rnacentral:rRNA from 1 species
CCUACGGGAGGCAGCAGUGAGGAAUAUUGGUCAAUGGGCGGAAGCCUGAACCAGCCAAGUAGCGUGCAGGAUGAAGGCCCUACGGGUUGUAAACUGCUUUUAUACGGGAAUAACGCGCCUUACGUGUAGGGCUUUGCAUGUACCGUAUGAAUAAGGACCGGCUAAUUCCGUGCCAGCAGCCGCGGUAAUACGGAAGGUCCGGGCGUUAUCCGGAUUUAUUGGGUUUAAAGGGAGCGUAGGCCGCCUGUCAAGCGUGCUGUGAAAUGCCCGGGCUCAACCCGGGCCUUGCAGCGCAAACUGGCUUGCUUGAGUCCACAGAAGGCAGGCGGAAUUCGUGGUGUAGCGGUGAAAUGCGUAGAUAUGACGAAGAACCCCGAUUGCGAAGGCAGCUUGCUGCAGUGGGACUGACGCUGAGGCUCGAAAGCGCGGGUAUCGAACAGGAUUAGAUACCCGUGUAGUC